UUUCCUGCAGCGCAAUGGAUUGCGCGUUGGACUUCUAAUACAAAGGUCGUGGGUUUGAUUCCCAUCUGGGAUG